rnacentral:rRNA from 1 species
AUUGAACGCUGGCGGCAUGCCUUACACAUGCAAGUCGAACGGCAGCACGGGAGCAAUCCUGGUGGCGAGUGGCGAACGGGUGAGUAAUAUAUCGGAACGUGCCCAGUCGUGGGGAUAACGUAGCGAAAGCUACGCUAAUACCGCAUACGAUCUAUGGAUGAAAGCGGGGGAUCGCAAGACCUCGCGCGAUUGGAGCGACCGAUAUCAGAUUAGGUAGUUGGUGAGGUAAAGGCUCACCAAGCCGACGAUCUGUAGCUGGUCUGAGAGGACGACCAGCCACACUGGGACUGAGACACGGCCCAGACUCCUACGGGAGGCAGCAGUGGGGAAUUUUGGACAAUGGGCGCAAGCCUGAUCCAGCAAUGCCGCGUGCAGGAUGAAGGCCUCGGUUGUAACU